rnacentral:rRNA from 1 species
AUUGAACGCUGGCGGCAUGCCUUACACAUGCAAGUCGAACGGUAACGCGGGGCAACCUGGCGACGAGUGGCGAACGGGUGAGUAAUGUAUCGGAACGUGCCCAGCUGUGGGGGAUAACUGCUCGAAAGAGCAGCUAAUACCGCAUACGACCUGAGGGGGACAGCGGGGGAUCGCAAGACCUCGCGCAAUUGGAGCGGCCGAUAGCAGAUUAGGUAGUUGGUGGGGUAAAGGCUCACCAAGCCGCCGAUCUGUAGCUGGUCUGAGGGGACGACCAGCCACACUGGGACUGAGACACGGCCCAGACUCCUACGGGAGGCAGCAGUGGGGAAUUUUGGACAAUGGACGCAAGUCUGAUCCAGCCAUGCCGCGUGCGGGAAGAAGGCCUUCGGGUUGUAAACCGCUUUUGUCAGGGAAGAAAAGGCUCCUUCUAAUAUAGGGGGCUCAUGACGGUACCUGAAGAAUAAGCACCGGCUAACUACGUGCCAGCAGCCGCGGUAA